UUAAGUUGCAAAAAGUAUCAAAUUUUAUAUAAUCUUUAGGCAAGGUACAAGAACAGAAAAUGGUGCUACUGAAAUUUUUUUCCUCAUAUAGAGGAAAUACUGUUUGGUUUCAGAAGAAAUAGACAUUUCUAUUUUAAGAUUUUUAUGGUGCUGUUCCCAGUGUGAAGGUUUAAUUAAUUUAGACUCCUUAAAGCAGGGGUCCCCGACUUCCUGGGCCUCGGACUGGUACUGGUCCAUGGCCUGUUAGGAACCAGGUUGCACAGCAGGAGCUGAGCACCACCUGAGCUCUGCCUCCUGUCAG
rnacentral:lncRNA from 1 species